UAUGGGAUAUACUUUGAUAUAUUCCACUUAUAUUUAGGACAUUAAAUGCAUAUUUCUUAACGUUCACCUUUUUACUAAAGCAACACGAUGGCGGUGAGCCCGGGUGCGAGGGCCCGUUCAUCGCUGCUUGCAGCUUUAAUUAGGGCCCGAGCACCGAGGUGCGAGGACCCUCUUGUAUCUGCUUUGUUUUUUAUUAUUAUUAUUCUUCUUCUUCUUCUUCUUCUUCUUCUCCCGAAUGAAUCGCAUUUUUGAGGGCUUUAACAUGCUCAAAAAGUCAUGAAACUUUGCACACUCGUCAAACCUGGUGAAAAUUUUCGUCUGAUAUAGGAUUCAGAAGAGGGUGUGGCAAAAUGGCUCGACAGCGCCACCUAUACCAAGAAAAUCAACAGCCUUCCAGCUAUGUUUCACGUACAUGCACGAAAAUUGGCACACAUAUGUAACACACCAAUACCUACAAAAAAGACUCUUGGAGCGAAAUUCUAAACCCAACAGGAAGUCGGUUAUUUUUAAUAUUAUGAGCAUAUUUUGUGUAAUUUUGGUCAUUUCCAUGUGUUGUAUUUUAACGAACUCCUCCUAGAGAGUUCUUCAAAUCAACACCAAAUUUGGUAUGCCUAAUCUAAAGGCCUUUGCGAUGUUAAAUUGCGAAGAUCCUGACUUUUCGUUGAAGGGCGUGUCCGUGGCGGCCUGGCGAAUUUCGAUGAUUCGCCAUGAAAAAUGAAGUUGCUAUAACUCACACAUACAAUGACCAAUCUGCCCCAAACUUCACAUGUUUGAUGAGACUCCGAACCUGAACAGAUUGACAUGCCCAUAUUCAGUUAUAGUCAUAGCGCCACCUAUUGGCAACAGGAAGUGACAUAUUUUACGCUGCGACGAACUACUCCUAGAAAUUUUAUGACAUCAAUGUCUUUUUUGUGGUCAGUCUAAUCUAAAGGCCUGUGCGAUGUUCAGUUGUGAAGAUCUUGAGUUUUCGUUAAAAGGCUUGUUCAUGGCGCCGCGACGAAGUUCGAUGUCUCGCCGUGCGAAUAAAAGAUGUUAUAACUCAGGCAUAAGAUGUCCGAUCUUCCCCAAACUUCACAUGUGUGAUAAGAGUCCUGGCCUGAACAGAUCUUCAGGCCAAUAUUCCACCGGGUGUGGCAGAAUGGCUCUAUAGCGCCACCUAUACACUUUCAACGGAGUGCGCCUCGAGCUAUGUUUCACGUACAUGUACAAAAAUUGGUACACACAUGUAACACUCCAAUACCUACAAAAAAGUCUCUUGGUACGAAAUCCGGAUCCCAACAGGAAGUCGGUUAUUUUGAAUUUUCCCUUCAAAAUUGCUGUUGUUUUUGCCAUUUUCAGGGGUUGUACUUUAACGAACUCCUCCUAGAGAUUUAUUCAGAUCAACACCAAACUUGGUCAGUGUAAUCUAAAGCCCUUUGCGAUAAUAAAUUGCGAAGGACUUGAGGUUUCGUUAAAGGGCGUGUCCAUGGCGGCCUGACAAAUUUCGAUGUUUCGCCAUGAAAAAGGAAGUUGCUGUAACUCAGACAUACAAUGUCCAAUCUGCCCCAAACUUCACAUGUUGGAUAAGACUCUUGACCUGAACAGAUCUACAUGCCAAUAUUCAGUUAUAGUCAUAGCGCCACCUAUUGGCAACAGGAAGUUACAUAUUUUACACUGCGACAAACUACUCCUAGAAAUUUUAUGACAUCAGUGUCUUUUUUGUGGUCAGUCUAAUCUAAAGACCUGUGUGAUGUUUAGUUGUGAAGAUCUUGAGUUUUUGUUAAAAGGUGUGUCCAUGGCGCCGUGAUGAAGUUUGAUGUCUCGCCAUGGGAAUAAAAGAUGUUAUAACUCAGGCAUAAAAUGUCCAAUCUUGCCCAAACUUCACUUUUGUGUAAAGGGUCCUGGCCUAAACAGAUCUGAAGGCCAAUAUUCCAUCGAGUGUGGCAAACUGGCUCGAUAGCGCCACCUAUACAAUUUCAACGGAGUGCGUAUACACUUUAAACGGAGUGCGCCUCGAGCUAUGUUUCACGUACAUGUACAAAAAUCGGUACACACAUGUAACACACCAAUAUCUACGAAAAAGUCUCUUGGUACGAAAUCCGAAUCCCAACAGGAAGUCAGUUAUUUAGAAUUUUCUCUGCAAAAUUAGUGUUGUUUUGGCCAUUUUCAGGGGUUGGACUUUGAUGAACUCCUCCUAGAGAUUUAUUCAGAUCAACACCAAACUUGGUCAGUGUAAUCUAAAGCCUUUUGCGAUCUUAAAUUGCGAAGAUCUUGAGGUUUCGUUAAAGGGCGUGUCCAUGGCGGCCUGACAAAUUUCGAUGUUUCGCCAUGAAAUAGGAUGUUGUUUUAACUCAGGCAUUAAAUGUCCAAUCCUCCCCAAACCUCACAUGUUCGACAAAAGUCCUGCCCUGAACACAUCUGAAGGCCAAUAUUCCACUAUAAUGAUAGCACCACCUGCUGGCAAAAGGAAGAUUGGCACAUAUAUGGAAUAAACAUUGAUAUAUUCUACUUAUAUUUAUGAGUUUAAACGCAUAUUUCUCACCGUUCACCUAUUAACUAAAGCCACUCGCUGCCGGUGAGCCCGGGUGCGAGGGCCCGUUCAUCGCUGCUUGCAGCUUUAAUGUUUAAUUUAUAUUU